rnacentral:misc_RNA from 1 species
GAUGAAGAACGUAGUGAAAUGCGAUAAGUAAUGUGAAUUGCAGAAUUCAGUGAAUCAUCGAAUCUUUGAACGCACAUUGCGCCCUCUGGUAUUCCGGGGGGCAUGCCUGUUCGAGCGUCAUUAUAACCACUCAAGCUCUCGCUUGGUAUUGGGGCUCGCGGUUCCGCGGCCCCUAAAAUCAGUGGUGGUGCCUGUCGGCUCUACGCGUAGUAAUACUCCUCGCGAUUGAGUCCGGUAGGUCUACUUGCCAGCAACCCCCAAUUUUUACAGGUUGACCUCGGAUCAGGUAGGGAUACCCGCUGAACUUAAGCAUAUCAAUAAGCGGAGGA